CAACAACCUCUGCAACCUAUGCAUAAACUUUGAAUGUGGAUGACUGCCGUAAUCAUCUACCACAACGGUGAGCUUUUGCAAGUUGGGCGAGCUUUGGAUUAAAGAAAGAAGAACUUGAGCCUCUGGCAACCUGCUAAGUACAAUGUUACUAGCUUGGAGGAAUUUUAAGUUGUCGAGAGUUGCAGGCAGCUGGUAAGGGAC
rnacentral:lncRNA from 1 species